UAUGGUCUUAUGUAUGUCCGUUACAUACUAAAUGGCAAGGGAAUAUCUGCUAUGUUGGAGAAAUACAAAAGCUAUGACUUUGGGAGAUGCCCAAGAGUUUACUGCUGUGAACAACCAUGUCUACCAGUUGGUCAGUCAGAUAUCCCCCGUUCAAGUACUGGGAAAAUCUACUGUCCCAAAUGUGAAGAUAUAUAUUAUCCUCGAUCCAAGUAUCAAGAAAGCAUCUUUUCUAUUUUCGCUAGAAUUUUGCUUGUUAUUUCUUUUUCCAGUAAAAUUACUCGU